UACGAAGGGGGCUAGCGUUGCUCGGAAUCACUGGGCUUAAAGGGCGCGUAGGCGGACCCACAAGUCCGGGGUGAAAUCUUUCGGCUCAACCGGAAAAGGGCCUUGGAUACUGCGGGUCUCGAGUCCGGGAGAGGUGAGUGGAAUUCCUAGUGUAGAGGUGAAAUUCGUAGAUAUUAGGAAGAACACCAGUGGCGAAGGCGGCUCACUGGCCCGGUACUGACGCUGAGGCGCGAAAGCGUGGGGAGCAAACAGG
rnacentral:rRNA from 1 species